GACGAACGCUGGCGGCGUGCCUAAUACAUGCGAGUAGAACGCUGAAGAGAGGAGCUUGCUCUUCUUGGAUGAGUUGCGAACGGGUGAGUAACGCGUAGGUAACCUGCCUUGUAGCGGGGGAUAACUAUUGGAAACGAUAGCUAAUACCGCAUAACAAUGGAUGACACAUGUCAUUUAUUUGAAAGGGGCAAUUGCUCCACUACAAGAUGGACCUGCGUUGUAUUAGCUAGUAGGUGAGGUAAUGGCUCACCUAGGCGACGAUACAUAGCCGACCUGAGAGGGUGAUCGGCCACACUGGGACUGAGACACGGCCCAGACUCCUACGGGAGGCAGCAGUAGGGAAUCCUCGGCAAUGGGGGCAACCCUGACCGAGCAACGCCGCGUGAGUGAAGAAGGUUGUCGGAUCGUAAAGCUCUGUUGUAAGUCAAGAACGGGUGUGAGAGUGGAAAGUUCACACUGUGACGGUAGCUUACCAGAAAGGGACGGCUAACUACGUG
rnacentral:rRNA from 1 species